AUGCACGCUGGCGGCGUGCUUAACACAUGCAAGUCGAACGAAGCACUUUAACCUGAUUCUUCGGAUGAAGGUUUUUGUGACUGAGUGGCGGACGGGUGAGUAACGCGUGGGUAACCUGCCUCAUACAGGGGGAUAACAGUUAGAAAUGACUGCUAAUACCGCAUAAGACCACAGAGCCGCAUGGCUCGGUGGGAAAAACUCCGGUGGUAUGAGAUGGACCCGCGUCUGAUUAGGUAGUUGGUGGGGUAACGGCCUACCAAGCCAACGAUCAGUAGCCGACCUGAGAGGGUGACCGGCCACAUUGGGACUGAGACACGGCCCAAACUCCUACGGGAGGCAGCAGUGGGGAAUAUUGCACAAUGGGGGAAACCCUGAUGCAGCGACGCCGCGUGAGCGAAGAAGUAUUUCGGUAUGUAAAGCCCUAUCAGCAGGGAAGAAAAUGACGGUACCUGACUAAGAAGCACCGGCUAAAUACGUG
rnacentral:rRNA from 1 species